rnacentral:rRNA from 1 species
AUAGGAUAGGAUCGUGGUCGAUUAUGGUAGUUGGUGAGGUAAUGGAUCACCAAGCCGAUAAUCGAUAAGGCCCGUGAGAGCGGGAGCCCCGAGAUGGGUACUGAGACACCGACCCAGACCUUACGAGGUGCAGCAGGCGCGAGACCUCCGCAAUACACGAAAGUGUGACGGGGUUACCCAAAGUGUUCAUUUUUGAACUGUGGUAGGUGAGUAAUGUCCCCUACUAGAAAGGAGAGGGCAAGGCUGGUGCCAGCCGCCGCGGUAAAACCAGCUCUUCAAGUGGUCGGGAUGAUUAUUGGGCUUAAAGUGUCCGUAGCCGGUUUAGUAAGUUCCUGGUAAAAUUAGGUAGCUUAACUAUCUGUAUGCUAGGAAUACUACUAUACUAGAGGGCGGGAGAGGUCUGAGGUACUACAGGGGUAGGGGUGAAAUCUUAUAAUCCUUGUAGGACCACCAGUGGCGAAGGCGUCAGACUGGAACGUGCCUGACGGUGAGGGACGAAAGCCAGGGGAGCGAACCGAAUUAGAUACCCGGGUAGUCCUGGCCGUAAACGAUGCAUACUAGGUGAUGGCCCGGCCAUGAGCCGUGUCAGUGCCGUAGGGAAACCGUUAAGUGUGCCGCCUGGGAAGUACGGU